GACGAACGCUGGCGGCGUGCCUAAUACAUGCAAGUAGAACGCUGAAGGAGGAGCUUGCUUCUGUGGGUGAGUUGCGCACGGGUGAAUCACGCGUAGGUAACGUGCCUAGUAGCGGGGGAUAACUAUUAGAAACGAUAGCUAAUACCGCAUAAUAUUGACUAUUGCAUGAUAGUCAGUUGAAAGGUGCAAGUGCACCACUACCAGAAGGACCUGCGUUGUAUUAGCUAGGUGGUGGGGUAACGGCUCACCAAGGCCACGAUGCAUAGGCGACCUGAGGGGGUGAUCGGCCGCACUGGGACUGGGACACGGCCCAGACCCCUACGGGAGGCAGCAGUAGGGAUUCUUCGGGAAGGGGCGGAAGGGUGACCGAGGAAAGCCGCGAGAGUGAGGAAGAUUUUCGGAUCGUAAAGCUCAGUUGUAAGAGGAGAACGAGUGUGAGAGUGGAGAGCUCACACUGUGACGGUAUCUGACCAGAAAGGGACGGCUAACUACGUG
rnacentral:rRNA from 1 species